rnacentral:rRNA from 1 species
AUUGAACGCUGGCGGCAGGCCUAACACAUGCAAGACGAGCGGAUGAAGGGAGCUUGCUCCUGGAUUCAGCGGCGGACGGGUGAGUAAUGCCUAGGAAUCUGCCUGGUAGUGAGGGAUAACGUCCGGAAACGGGCGCUAAUACCGCAUACGUCCUGAGGGAGAAAGUGGGGGAUCUUCGGACCUCACGCUAUCAGAUGAGCCUAGGUCGGAUUAGCUAGUUGGUGGGGUAAAGGCCUACCAAGGCGACGAUCCGUAACUGGUCUGAGAGGAUGAUCAGUCACACUGGAACUGAGACACGGUCCAGGCUCCUACGGGAGGCAGCAGUGGGGAAUAUUGGACAAUGGGCGAAAGCCUGAUCCAGCCAUGCCGCGUGUGUGAAGAAGGUCUUCGGAUUGUAAAGCACUUUAAGUUGGGAGGAAGGGCAGUAAGUUAAUACCUUGCUGUUUUGACGUUACCAACAGAAUAAGCACCGGCUAACUUCGUG